GGGUUGUGAGGUUAAGCGACUAAGCGUACACGGUGGAUGCCCUGGCAGUCAGAGGCGAUGAAGGGCGUGCUAAUCUGCGAUAAGCGCCGGUAAGGUGAUAUGAACCGUUAUAACCGGCGAUACCCGAAUGGGGAAACCCAGUGUGACUCGUCACACUAUCAUUAACUGAAUCCAUAGGUUAAUGAGGCGAACCGGGGGAACUGAAACAUCUAAGUACCCCGAGGAAAAGAAAUCAACCGAGAUUCCCCCAGUAGCGGCGAGCGAACGGGGAGGAGCCCAGAGCCUG
rnacentral:rRNA from 1 species